UUCAAUGUUAUUAGGCAUUGCAAGGUCGGCCACUUCGAAGUUUAGAAAAAACGCAAAAUUGGGUUUAAUUUUAAUUCCCAUACCAUAGUUUAACUAAAAUUAUUUAUUAUUUGAUGGAGAUGAAAUUUGGAUGUGGUCUAAAAUUAUCGCGUAUUCGUUGCACGACCCCGCCGUGACGUCAGGGACGUUUCGUAUGUCGAGUUCCUUACGCGUGGCACGUAGCAUCGGAAAUUCCAGAAUUAAUUGUUGUAAACAACUUUUGAGGAAUUGGAGGGAGAAUAAAACCAGAGUUGGCCUCCAUUCUGGCGUCAUUGUAAUUUGAAGUCUGCUCCAUGAAGGAGGAAACAACCGGAAAUUUAAAAAAAAUUGAUAAAAAUGCAAUUUUUCGUUGUUUUAUUUCUAGUCGCGGUGACAAUCUCGGAAUCGGUCGGUGGAGGCAUCGAUGUGAACAAAGAGAUUGCGACGUACUCGACUUGUAACGGGAAAUCUGUCGUUUUCCCGCCAGAGACGGUGACGAAAGGGAUUUUGGCGGCGGCAAUUGUUUAGGGGUGGAGGAUGAAUUUUGUGCUAAACUCUGCGUCUUCCGACACAUGGAUGGCCCCAUGAUCGGAAAUAAGCUGAACAAGUUGUGGAUGAAGAAAGAGGGGAGGAAGACCAGCAUGGGGGAUGAGGACGCGAAGGAUAAAAUCAUAGAGGGAGUGGAUAAGUGUUUGAAAGAUGAUGCUGACAUGGUCGAGGUGGAUGGGAAAUGCCCAGCGUUUCAGAAAGUUUACGAUUGCAUGUUAAAAAAUUACGAGAUCAUUUGUAAGGGGAAGAAGGCGUAAUUAAUGAAUUUGAAUAAAGCGGGAAUGUGGAUGGAAU